rnacentral:rRNA from 1 species
AGUGAACGCUGGCGGUAGGCCUAACACAUGCAAGUCGAACGGCAGCACAGUAAGAGCUUGCUCUUACGGGUGGCGAGUGGCGGAAGGGUGAGGAAAAUAUCGGAAUCUACUUUUUCGUGGGGGUUAACGUAGGGAAACUUACGCUAAUACCGCAUCUGACCUACGGGUGAAAGCAGGGGAACUUCGGACCUUGCGGGGUUGGAUGCGCGGCUGUUGGGUUUGUUGGUUGGCGGGGUAAAGGCCAACCAAGGGGACGGUCCGUAGCUGGUCCGAGAGGAUGAGCCGCCACACUGUAACUGGGACACGGUCCAGACUGCUACGGGGAGCAGCAGUGGGGAAUAUUGGACGAUAGGCGCAAGCCUUAUCCAGCCAUACCGCGUGGGUUAAGAAGGCCUUCGGGUUGGAAAGCCCUUUUGUUGGGAAAGAAAAGCAGCAGGUUAAUACCCCGCUGUUCUGGCGGUACCCAAAGAAUAAGCACCGGCUAACUUCGUG